rnacentral:lncRNA from 1 species
AGAGGUGGCCAAGAAGCGGGAGAAGGGCAGAAAGGUCUGUAACUCUUUCCUUCCUCCCUAUCUUCCUCGGGCCCCGGCUCCUUUUUUUGUCUUCCUCCCCCCCCUUCCUCGUUUGCAACUUUCCUUCUCUGUCACUUUUCUCCCAGGAAACACAAGCUCCUUUCACAGAGCUCUCGUGUCCCAUUUUGCGCUAUUGUCUGCCGGGGAAAAUAGGGGGAAGAAAGAGCUUGUCCAUCAUGGCUCCUCCGGCGCGCACACACCCGUCCUUUGGAGCCAGCUUCUCCACCGACCUGGAAAAGACUUUUUUUGGGGGGGGGGGGGUGGGGAGGGCUCGGGAGAGCCCGGCCCCUCGGACACCCCAAACGGGACGAGGGGCGCUCUCCAAAGCGGCCUAGGGGCCUAGCUUGCCUCUUGCAUCCGUUUCACGUCGCCUUUCGGCCGCUCCGUGGGGCCUGGUUUUAAGCAUCCUUCCCACCCCCUUCGCCGCCGUUGUUGGGAAGCAGACCCUUCCCCUAAAUGUCCAAGGAAAUGUCCUGCAGAGGGCAGAUGCUUCUCCUUUCCUUCUUUCCCAUCGAUGGGCCUUGGAUGCCAGUCCUUGCCCAGCUCGCGUUUAUGACGCUCGGGGUGCCUGCCACCCCCUCCAAAAAAAAAAAAAAAAGGAAAAGAAAAAAGCCCCUCUUCUUUCCGGCCUCUCCCGGGAAGGUCCUCGGCCCGGAUCUGCCUGGGAAAUCUGGAAUUCGGACGAGGAGAGGAAAAGGACCGGUCCAAAGGAUUAAACCCAGAAGAGUACCGAUAGCAAGAGGCAAGAAGGAAAGUUCCUCCUUUUUGGAAGACGGGUCUCAAAUCAAGACAAAAGAUGAAGGGAAAGGAUAAACGCCCUGAAAAAAAAAAAAACAAACAACAAAAAACAACCACCCAAAACACAGCAACAGAAAAGGAAAGAAAAAGAUGCAUUCAGACCCUGGAGCGGAGAAUCCGGCGUGAAUAUCUCUAGGAAUCUCUCUGUACUGUCCAUGUCCGUGUGUCUUUCUGGAGUCAACAAACGACGGGCAAAACCAAAGAAAGACACCCCUGUGCCCAUUUCACGGAAAAAGACAAAAUUGCUAAAAGCGGGUUGAUUGGCAGAGCCGCGUUGAUAGUCCGAGAGAGAAAAGGCAACGUGGAUGCGGCUAAGAGUUGGGAAGUUAUCAACAAGAAACCUGCCAGUAUGUGCCUAAAAUUGAUUCCCCAAACUUCAAAGUAUAAAGGCAGGGAGGCGUUAUACAUCUCACUCAAAGCUCAGUCGAGAGCGGCACUGGUUUUCCUCUCCCCCCUGAAAAAUGGACGAGCUAGGCCAUUUGGACAUAUUCUUUAAAAAAAAAUAAAAUAAAGAUUUUUUUCAAUAAUUAGAACAAACGAUGAAGGUAUUGUGCAUUUCUGUUUUAUGUAGAUAAUAAAAUAUUACUUUAACAUAAAUAUAUAAGGAUCUCUGCGUUUUUAUUUUUUCCCCACAAGCACAUCCAAAUGUACCAAAAACAAAGUAUUUUUAAAGAGACCGAACCAAAAGAAAAAAAAAUUACAUCCCAUAUAGAUUUUGUUCACCUACUCAUUUAAAGCUACAGAAAACAGUUUCCAGAACCUUUUUUGCUUUAAAAGAAAUAAAUAUACAUUGAGGCAGGCCACUUCAAAAUGAUAUGAAAAUAUUUCCCUGGGUAGCAUUUAAAAAAAAAGAAAAAUAGACAAAGGAACAUUUGAACUAUUUUUGCGUUUCAAAAGACAAAUAUUAAACAUAUAUAUAUUUAUAUAUAUACAGUGGUAAGGUUUGAGUGGUAACUUUUUUUUUUUUUUGAGUAAACCUGUUUUAAGUUCAAAGAUCUACAGACACAUCCCCUGAACUCCAUUUUCUGACCUUACCCACAUAUUAAUAAGCGUCUGAAAGUUAAUUUCCUCCCUUUACCACUGGACCUUUGCCCUGCUCUGGUAUUACUUCACUAAGAACGAGUCCCCAAAAUCGAAAUAACAAGCAGCUUGAUAUAUCCCAAAGCUCAGUGUCCGUACCAUUUUGACAACCGUUGGGAAAAUGUAAAAAGGGCAAAUAAAUAUGCCUCUUAAAAACCAUAAUUCAUCUCGCGAAAAACAUGUAGAAAUCAAACGACAGAGGCGUUUGAGAAGACAAUAAAAAGCGUAGCGUCUCAGACCCUAGCAAUCGAAUGCAAUGUUAAUCUGAUGCUGGACCAUGAUUUUACGGGAGUGAAAGGGCGUCUAUUGUUUUUUUUCUUUCUUUUUUUUUUUAAAAAAAAACCACCCCAAAACAAAAACUUGCCUAUCACUCAACUAGGAAAAACAAAUCAAACUUUUUUAGUUUCAUAAAAACGAUCAUUUUCCGUUGGGGGGGCCUUUUGUGCUGAAUUCGGUUUGUUUUUUGUUUUUCUUGAACAUCACAGUUUGUUGCGUCCCGUCCCCCCCCCCCCCACCCCCAAUAGUUUCAAGACUCGCUCCUAAAAUUCCCUGUGGAGUCUUUUGUUUGGGGAAAGUUAACCGUUUUCCGCCAAGAUAAGGUCAAGAAACGCACCGAAAUCUAUUAACAAAAGGGAGAAAGGGAUGGAUUGAGAAAGGGCUUCUUCUUUUUUUUUUUUUUUUUUUUUGCUUUCUUUCUUUCCACUUCAUUUGGCUCCGCUAGUGAAAGAGAAAAAGCGAUCUAAGUCAAAUGGAUGGGAGACGGGGUGUGUGUGUGUGUGUGUAAAUUGGGAAAGAAAACCCCGGGAGAAGCGACACAAAACCAAGGCGUUAUAGGGGAGCGAAGGCGCGCUCUGUCGUCGUCCCCUCCAUCCGCUUCAUCCCUGUGCUCCGGGGGGAUGUAUCUGGGGGGAGAACGAUGGAGGUUUCGGGAGGAUGUGUUACGGUGGAUCUACGGGUGGGGAGGGUGAGGUGAUUUUUGACGACUAAAGGCACACGGAGAACUUUCGAUGGAGGGUCUGAGAAGUCACUAACAUAGGACCCGGCGCUCCAUCCCUGGCACAUUUAACCAAUCCCUCUCCUCCCAGGGUUUUCCAACCGGGUCCUGCAAAGAUGAAGCUCUCCAUUUCCCUCCCCUCUUGCCCCAGAACCCUUCCCUUCAAAGAAAAACAGGAAAUAUGAAGUUUACGUGGCCGGUGGCAAUAAAAUGCGAGCUCGGUUGUUUUUGUUCUUUUCGUAUUUGCCUGGGCCAGGACCCGGCCCCGGAUGAACCGGCCACUUUUCUGGAGGGAGGAAAGGGUUUAUGCUGAACGAAGCCACUCGUCACUCUGCCAAAUAAACGUUACACCGGUGUGGGAAGGCCUCCCGGGGGGUCCACCAAAGUUUUAACCAACGUCUAAGGAAAAGUGGCGACCUUGGGCAUUUUCUCUCUAGCGGUCGGUCACGGACUAGGAAACCUCUCUGACUAAAAACGCAAAUCGGUCUCCAAAGGAAUGUCGAAGGGGUAGGGAGGGGAAGAGCAGAUUUUCCCCGAUUUCUUCCCGUCCACUUUUAUUUGGGGGGGGGGGGGGAAGGGAGAGGGGAGCGGAUUUUCCUGGAUUUCUUCCCGUAAACUUUUAUUUUUCUUGCAGUGCAAAUCCAUACGGCUAAAUCCAUCAAAAUCCACACUAGAGAGAGAGAGAGAGAGAGAGAGAAUGUGUGUGCCUGUGUGUGUGUGUGCGCGUAUCUUUUUCCUUUCCUGAUGGGGCUCUCCCAGAAAUAAAACACGACAGCAUGGGCCAGCUCUGAGCAUCUUUCCAGGAUGGGCGCUGCUUUGUGUCUGCCUGAUUUUGGGGGUCAUUUUUUGGAGGGGAGAGUUGAAUUUAGUUUGGCCAAGAACUUAACCCGGGUGCCUGUGCGGAUGGGGGCUACUCACUCCAUCGUACUUUCCAAGCCCUUCGGACAGUGCUCCGCACACUGCCAGCGCUCAGUAAAAACGAUCG